rnacentral:rRNA from 1 species
UACGUAGGGUGCGAGCGUUAAUCGGAAUUACUGGGCGUAAAGUGUGCGCAGGCGGCCGAGCAAGUCGAGUGUGAAAGCCCCGGGCUUAACUUGGGAAUUGCGCUCGAAACUACUUGGCUGGAGUGUGGCAGAGGGAGGUGGAAUUCCACGUGUAGCGGUGAAAUGCGUAGAUAUCGGGAGGAACACCGGUGGCGAAGGCGACUACCUGGCCUGUUCUUGACGCUGAGGCGCGAAAGCUAGGGGAGCAAACGGG